rnacentral:rRNA from 1 species
AACGCGAAGAACCUUACCAGGUCUUGACAUCCUCUGACAACUCUAGAGAUAGAGCGUUCCCCUUCGGGGGACAGAGUGACAGGUGGUGCAUGGUUGUCGUCAGCUCGUGUCGUGAGAUGUUGGGUUAAGUCCCGCAACGAGCGCAACCCUUGAUCUUAGUUGCCAGCAUUUAGUUGGGCACUCUAAGGUGACUGCCGGUGACAAACCGGAGGAAGGUGGGGAUGACGUCAAAUCAUCAUGCCCCUUAUGACCUGGGCUACACACGUGCUACAAUGGAUGGUACAAAGGGCUGCAAGACCGCGAGGUCAAGCCAAUCCCAUAAAACCAUUCUCAGUUCGGAUUGUAGGCUGCAACUCGCCUACAUGAAGCUGGAAUCGCUAGUAAUCGCGGAUCAGCAUGCCGCGGUGAAUACGUUCCCGGGCCUUGUACACACCGGCAU